ensembl:lncRNA
UACACUGAAGCUGGCAGACGGCUAUGGUAAGGGGCAUGACAUCUCACAACCAGGCGCCAAGUGCUGUCAAUCACAACACAUAUUGGCCCAGCUAACAAAUCACAUUUCAUAUUUCAGAAGGCGGGCCUUCAUUUGAUACAAUAGAGUUUCUAACUAACUAACACUGUGCAUAUAGCAGUUCUUAAUCCUGGUCCUCGCAACCCCGCUCUGCACUAUUUGUAUAUUUCUCGUACCGCUUCAAGGGUUUUUUCCAUUCGAACGUAAGUGCCCUGCGAAAUGGACAUCACAGGAUAUUUCGUCAUGAUAGGGCAUUCAAGUGAGCGAGACAUGACUUCUAUGCAAAUCUCAUGAUUACAGUUAAAUAAUUAACCCCCUCAUACUUCUGGAGUAAGUCUUGUCCGCAUCCUACAUUCUUGUAAGUACAUUAACUUAUCAUCUUUUUCCCAUAACAUUUGUAUAUUAUUAUUAUUAUUAUUAUUAGCCUAUUAUUAUUGGUUAUAUUUUUAUAUUUGUUUACAUACAUUUUUUUCCCCUUCAUUUCAAUCUCUUAACGCUCUGAAUACUUUUGCAAAGCAAUACACAAAUUCAAAGGGGAAAUAUAGCUCUAAUAAAAAAUAUAGCUCUAAUUAGUUAAUGUAAUAAUAAUAAUAAUAAUAAUACACAAAUAUUAAAUGAAAUGUUUAAUGUUAAUAAAAAACUGUUGUUCCCUCAACAUAAGAAGUCAUGGCCACGACAUAAUAUCAUGUUCCCAUGAGGUAAUAUGAUGUUCCCACAUAUUAAUAUCUUGUGGCCACAACAUAUUAUUAUGUUCCCAUAAGGGAGGGACAGCUGGAUUAAGAACACCUGAAAUAUUGCAAAGGGCAUACCAGCUAACUAUACUCCAAAGAAUAAUUGCAGUUGGGGCAGAAUUAAAAGCGGAGACGUCAAGUCGGACACUUUCUGCUCACGGUAGUGAUGCUCUCAUAGUGUUUUCAUACUCUAUCACAGAUGAAGUGAAUAAAAUUAAAGAUGUUAUAAUAAACCUGAAUGACACACGUCAUCAUUGUUAUGUGGUGAAUUUGACGAAUCUUCAUCAAAGCUCCUGCACCCGCUCUACAGAAACUGCACUGGCUGAGUUAGUCGGCUGCUCUCAGAGCACUAUCGCGAUACUUUAAUGCCACACAUGACAGUGACGUGGCAUCGGUGCCGUCUCAAGUGGGGCAAAAUUUCUAACCGGCACGCACUGCUUCAAGUCAGCCGCUGAUCGGUCUACACAGCACCGCAUGAAGCAGAACACACCUAUUGAUUAGCAUGCUCAUGUGUGUUUGAAUAGGGUUAGAGCUAAACUCUGCAGGAAAGUGGAUCUUGUGGGCCAGAUUUGAGGAUGCCUGUUCUAUGCCAAUUAUCAUUUUGGGGAAAAUGCUUCAUUUAUUAUUAUGGUAAUACUUUGAUAAAUGUAUGAAAUCAUGUAAAUAUUUUAUCCAAGUAGUUUUGGUUUCUCAUCACUAGAAAAACCUUGGGUUUAUCUGCAGUUGCUGUUGUGGGAAUACAUAUGCUGUUUAAUAUUUUCAGUCCUUAUUUUCCUCAUAAAGUGUAACAGAUAAUCACAGUUCUAUAUGCAAGACUGUUCUACCUCCUAUGUUUCUGUUAAGAACUAAUACACAAGUACAUGGUGCUCCCAGGAACUGGGAAGUAUGCCUUAGAGAGAGGGAGAUAUAUGUAGUUAUGAUUUCAGUGUUCUUGGCAACUUCUUUUCUCAUGGGUCACUUCCAAUCUGACAUUAAUACAAGUCUUUUCAUCACUGUUUAGAGGCAGUUUUAAAUACAUUCACCUUAAAGGGGUCAUCGGAUGCCCAUUUUCCACAAGUUGAUAUGAUUCUUUGCAGUCUUAAUGAAAAGUCUAUAAUAUACUUUGGUUAAAAUUUCUCAAUGGUAGUGUAUAACAAAACCUUUUUUUGCCCUGUCAAAAACAGCUCUAGUUUCAUUGCAUUUCCCUUUAAAUGCUAAUGAGCUCUGCUAUCCCCGCCCCUCUCCCUCCAUGGGGUGACACACAGUUCUCUGAGAGACUGUAAGCUUUAGCUGCAUUCAUCAUGAAACUUGCUAAAUAGCAAAUUAUUAGGAAAGGCAAUUUGCAAAAUUCAUUAAAAAAAAUGUACAGUAGGUGGACAACCAAAAUGGGUAAUACCGCCGCAAGGCCGCGGCGUUAACUGCAAGUCAGUCGCAUGUUAAAAUCAUUCGCGAAACUACCGCCAGAUGGCGCAAAGGGACGGAUUGCGAACUGAAUGUAAUUGAAAGGAAGACGUAAAACAACAAUAACAUUAUAAUAUACACUAUUGUAACAAAUUACCUCAAAGUGAGAUGUACAUAAUUAAUCAUAACGGGUUAUUAUUAACUACAAUCAUCUUCAGGAAUUACUUGUAGCAUUAUAUCAUUAAUAGUACAAUAAAAUGA